rnacentral:tRNA from 1 species
GGAGAGGUGGCCGAGCGGCUGAAGGCACCGGUUUGCUAAACCGACAUACGUGUGUAAACGCGUAUCGAGGGUUCGAAUCCCUCCCUCUCCG